AUACGUAGGAUCCGAGCGUUAUCCGGAUUUAUUGGGUUUAAAGGGUGCGCAGGCGGCCAUUUAAGUCAGCGGUUAAAUCGUGGGGCUCAACCCCAUUCUGCCGUUGAUACUGGGUGGCUUGAUUGCGGUCGGGGUUGGCGGAAUUCGUUGUGUAGCGGUGAAAUGCAUAGAUAUGACGAAGAACACCGAUUGCGUAGGCAGCUGACCAGACCGCAAAUGACGCUCAUGCACGAAAGUGCGGGGAUCGAACAGGAUUAGAUACCCUGGUAGUCCGCACAGUGAACGAUGAAUACUUGUUUUCGGCGAUAUAAUGUCGGAGGCAAAGCGAAAGCGAUAAGUAUUCCACCUGGGGAGUACGCCGGCAACGGUGAAACUCAAAGGAAUUGGCGGGG
rnacentral:rRNA from 1 species